UCAUUGCGAGGCCCUGUGAGACCAGUGCGCGUCAUGGACAGAGUCCCAACACUUCUGCUGGAUUUCUAGUCACCGAGAAAUAACCCAAAAAGGGUCAGAAGGAGCAAUGUGUCUUACCUUCAGAGUCGGAGGACCCUCAUUUGGACAACAGGAGAAACUACGAGGUCUGCGUUGGUUAUGAAGAACAGCUGAAUUUUGAAUUGUAAGAGAAUGUGGCCGCCUGAAUAAAUGAAAAUCUACUAGAGCUCCAAUAACACUCACCAAGAAAUGUCCUUACACCUGAAUUCUCCGCCUAGUUAAGGUGAGGACGGAAUCCUCCCUCCAAAGGACAGAACCAGUCAGUCCUCCCAAAUAAAAUCUGCUCUGAACCUUAAACGAAAAUAGGAGCUUCGGAUCCAGCAGAACUUACUGCUGGAGCUCUGAGGCUCACCAAGAGAAAUGCCAGAGAACAAGGCCCUCUUGGAGGUGCCUUCCACGUGUCCAUGGCAGCACCAGGGUCUGCACUCAGUUGCUCUGGAUCUGCCGACUACACCAAGAAAUAUCAACUGAGGAAAAAUUCACUACAUUCAAAUAGCAGAUAUUUAUUUGGGCAAUGAGAAUUGCAAUUCGGGAGACACAGAUUCAGGCAGAAACCCAAAAUGUGUUCCAAGAAAGACAAAGGAGGCAGGGGUUUAUAAAGGCAAAAAGAAAAAUUACACAGGUUGUUUUGAAAAUUUGUCAUUAGAGCUGGCAAUAACUGUUACUUCUUGGCCAUACACGAUCAGUUGCUAAGGCCAUUUCUACGGUAGAAAGUUCUUAUCUACAGGAGUCAGCACAUUUCUAGGGAGAAGGUCAAGAUGACAACAGCAAAGCACAGUGCAAAAGUUAUAUUCCUGGGGCUGGUCAGGUGGUGUAGUGGUUAACUUCACGCACUCUGCUUUGCUGCCUAGGUUCGCCAGGCCGGAUCUUGGAUAUGGACCCACACAUGGCUCAUCAAGCCAUGCUGUGGUGGCACCCCACAUAUAAAAUAGAGGAAGAUCGGCAACAGAUGUUAGCUCAGGGCCAAUCUACCACACCAAAAAAAAGAAAGAAAAAGUGAUAUUCCCUCUGGUAGAGAGUGGCGUUCCUGCCUGAGCCCCGUUUCCUUAAUGGCCUCCCAGUUUCAUGUUAGCAGCCUUGACAGAUGUGACUCCAUUUUGUCCACAGCGAAAAUAAACUUCCGGUGUUUAGGCCACCUGGUCCGUGGCAUUUCGUCAUGGCAGCCAAGCUGACUGAGAGGAAGGACCCACUCUCCCGGCACACGGGCAGGGAGGGUUUCUCCCGUGUCCCCGGCUCUCUGCUGACCUCCUUGGUCCCCUGCUUCCUGCCGCUAAGGCCGUCUUUCUACGGCAGACCUGGCGGCACCGUCCAGAGGCUCACCAAGGCCCGCCUGGUGUCACAUUCGGUAACAUCCUGUGCGCCACCCAGUGGGCGCUCCAGCCGCUCCAACCAAAGGUUCGAGAACGCACCGGAACGCCCAGGGCUCCCCUCACCUUGCGCCACCCACAGCCUUCCCGCCAAACCCGCAUCCAAUCAGAAAGCGUCACACUCCGCGCAUCGAGCAAAAGCCAAUGGAAAGCGGGAUUCCGGCCAUCGGCCCGCCCCCAGGCGCUCGGGACCAAUGGCCUCGUGACCGCGGGGGCGGAUCUGCGAGCGCGCCUGGCUGGUGAGGCUGCUGGGAGCUGGCUGUGUGGGGCGCGGCGGGCUGGAGCGACGGGGACUCCGGGCGCUGUGUCCCGCGGACGCCCAGGCGGGAGGGGACGGAGCCGCUUCAUGGGGCGGCGGGGGCAGGCCCGGGAGGGUCCGGGUUGAGGCCGCAGGGCGUCGGCGGGGAGCGGAGCCGGAGAGCGUGGGAGGCCCGGGCCGCGACGGAAGGUUCUCGAAGCCCCCAGAGCUGUGUGUGGGGUCAAGUCUACCGGUGUUGGUCAUGUAGAAAUUCAGACUGAGACGCUUCGCAGACGCGCACUUUCAAGCGACACGUGAACAUAAAUAGCGCGUGGAGUCUGAAUCCUCCGCAGGCGGUUCCUUCAAGUCACCGCGCGUCCCACGGAAAAGCAGCGGGUCCAGCGGCGACUCCACACCCGCCCCGCGCUUCCCGACAGCGGCUUCCAGCUGCGCACGGGGCUCCGUCUGCGCCUCCGUCUGUCCAGCUCUGUCUCCAGGGAGAGACUGAACACAUGUGAAGAUCUUUCUGGCCUCAACUGGCUUUUCUUUCUUUUACUCUGAGCACUAAUGGUGAGGAGUCCGGUGACCACAGGUACGGUCUGGUGCCACUACCGUGAUCUGGGCUCAGGCGCCAGCAGUCGUAUCCACCUUUGAUUGUGCACCGUCAGUGCGAACGUCAGCGCAGUGAAGGGACUAGGAACCGCCCAGUCCUGCUAUGAAACGCUUGUCCCUCCACGCGCCCUGGAGAGGUCUGUGGACCCCCAGUGCCUGGAGACUCCACUGUGGUCACUCUGAGGACCGGGGCUGGGGGGUGGCCAGCAACCGUGCCGUUUGCCCCUAGCGCUGCCUUCCCGUCCGUUUGAGUAUUACCUGUUCUUUGCGUUGAGCCUCAUCACUCAGAAGCCACUCCCCGGAGCCCUGCACGUUCGUCCUUCAGACUGUGUCUAUUUCAUCCUGGUGGACAGGUACCUCUCAUGGUUCCUGCCCACAGAAGGCAAUGUGCUCCCCCUACUCUCCUCCAGUCCGGGGGCCCCCAGCCCCUCACCAGCUCCCAGGCCAAAUAGCAUUCCAUGGCGUGUAGACCCCACCUUUUCCUUAUCCAGUCUCCUGUCAACGAGCGUUAAGCUGUCUCCGUGUCUUGGCUUUUGUGAAGGAUGCUGCAGUCACACGGGGCAGAGAUCUCUCCGAGAGGCUCCUUUCGAUUUUUUGGACAUGUACCCACAAGUGGGGUUGCUGGGUCGUGCUAAGUGAAAUGGACCAGUCACCGAAGGACCAGUACUGUGUGAUUCCGCUCAGGGGCUGCUCUGCACCUGCCAGCACGGCUCCCGUCUCUGAUUCCGAGAGUCCUGGUGUGGACAAGACAGAGAGGUCAUCUGGUCAGUCCUUCUCACUUUCCCGAAGGUGAGUGGAGACCGGAGUGUUAACCAGGCUCAUUGACAUCAUGGUGAUGAUAUUAACUCCCACAGCUGUGACUUGUGGAGCACUUCAUGUGUGCCAGUUUCUUUAUACAGAUCAGCUCUUGAAACCCCACAGGCCCCUGGGACAUUAGUUCCCAUCCUCCACACAAGGAAAUCGAGUCUCAUAGAGGUGAUAUGACCUGCCUAGAGUCACACAGCACAGAAGUGGACGAGAUGUAAUUUGAACCAGGUUCCUGGAUUCCAAAUGCCAGAGAUAUGACCGCCACACUGUCGCACUGCCCAAGGCAGGUGCUGUUUAUUGAGUCCUACUAUGUGCUUGGGACUGGGCGAGGCUGGGAGAUACAGAGAUGAGAAGGCAGACCAUUCUGUGGUGUUUUUCAUGUGUCCUCUCCCCUGGGAACCUGGGAGCCAUGUAUCUCCAACACCUCGCACAGAGCUUGGCCCACAGCAGGGCUUCAGUGAAUGUUGGCUGAAGAAUGAAUGAACUGCUGCAAAUGAUAGAAGAAUAAGCAUAUUUUGUGAUUUCUCUGGGGUCUGUCCCCUUGACACUGUGUUCCCAGCACCUGGCACCAUGCCUGGUAGUGGCUCCGUAGGGAGACCAACUGGACCCUGACUCAGGCUUGGACUCCUGCCGAGUGGGUGUUCCUGCACAGCCACAGCACUUCUUGAAGCCUCAGUGUCCUCAUCUGCUCAGUGGGGAUAAUAAUUGCAUCUACUUCAGAGGAUCAGGGAGAUCGCCCAAGUGAAUGCCUGUGUGACAGCACAGGGCCCUCCCAGGAAAAGGCGUCCACUACUGAGCAGGUCAAACUUCAGAUCUUGUCACUAGCUGCCCGAGGAGCCACCUGAAUUGAAGGAAGGCUUAGGAAGGUGGAUCUUGCAGUUUGGUGUGAACUUAAAACACCCAACAGACCAUUGGCAUGGCAUAAUCACUUUAUGUAGAUGAGACAAGCAGGAAGUUGGCACCGCAGUGUCCAGGGGAAGGCGCUGCUGCCUGGUGGCCUGAGGUCAAUCUCAUGUGAAAGCAAUGUGAACCUGGAAGGUUACUGAGCCUCUGCUUCUCAGUUCCCUGGUCUGGGAUGUGG
ensembl:lncRNA